AACGAACGCUGGUGGCAUGCCUAACACAUGCAAGUCGAACGAGACCUUCGGGUCUAGUGGCGCACGGGUGCGUAACGCGUGGGAAUCUGCCCUUGGGUUCGGAAUAACAGUUGGAAACGACUGCUAAUACCGGAUGAUGACGUAAGUCCAAAGAUUUAUCGCCCAAGGAUGAGCCCGCGUAGGAUUAGCUAGUUGGUGAGGUAAAGGCUCACCAAGGCGACGAUCCUUAGCUGGUCUGAGAGGAUGAUCAGCCACACUGGGACUGAGACACGGCCCAGACUCCUACGGGAGGCAGCAGUGGGGAAUAUUGGACAAUGGGCGAAAGCCUGAUCCAGCAAUGCCGCGUGAGUGAUGAAGGCCUUAGGGUUGUAAAGCUCUUUUACCCGGGAUGAUAAUGACAGUACCGGGAGAAUAAGCUCCGGCUAACUCCGUG
rnacentral:rRNA from 1 species